CCCGUACACUAAAAUGCAUAUUCUGUGAGUUCGAUGAGUAGGGCGGGACACGUGACAUCCUGUCUGAAUAUGGGGGGACCAUCCUCCAAGGCUAAAUACUCCUGACUGACCGAUAGUGAACCAGUACCGUGAGGGAAAGGCGAAAAGAACCCCGGCGAGGGGAGUGAAAUAGAACCUGAAACCGUGUACGUACAAGCAGUGGGAGCCUACUUUGUUGGGUGACUGCGUACCUUUUGUAUAAUGGGUCAGCGACUUAUAUUUUGUAGCAAGGUUAACCGUAUAGGGGAGCCGUAGGGAAACCGAGUCUUAACUGGGCGAAUAGUUGCAAGGUAUAGACCCGAAACCCGGUGAUCUAGCCAUGGGCAGGUUGAAGGUUGGGUAACACUAACUGGAGGACCGAACCGACUAAUGUUGAAAAAUUAGCGGAUGACUUGUGGCUGGGGGUGAAAGGCCAAUCAAACCGGGAGAUAGCUGGUUCUCCCCGAAAGCUAUUUAGGUAGCGCCUCGUGAACUCAUCUUCGGGGGUAGAGCACUGUUUCGGCUAGGGGGCCAUCCCGGCUUACCAAACCGAUGCAAACUCCGAAUACCGAAGAAUGUUAUCACGGGAGACACACGGCGGGUGCUAACGUCCGUCGUGAAGAGGGAAACAACCCAGACCGCCAGCUAAGGUCCCAAAGUCAUGGUUAAGUGGGAAACGAUGUGGGAAGGCAUAGACAGCCAGGAUGUUGGCUUAGAAGCAGCCAUCAUUUAAAGAAAGCGUAAUAGCUCACUGGUCGAGUCGGCCUGCGCGGAAGAUGUAACGGGGCUAAACCAUGCACCGAAGCUGCGGCAGCGACGCUUAGGCGUUGUUGGGUAGGGGAGCGUUCUGUAAGCCGUUGAAGGUGGCCUGUGAGGGUUGCUGGAGGUAUCAGAAGUGCGAAUGCUGACAUAAGUAACGAUAAAGCGGGUGAAAAACCCGCUCGCCGGAAGACCAAGGGUUCCUGUCCAACGUUAAUCGGGGCAGGGUGAGUCGACCCCUAAGGCGAGGCCGAAAGGCGUAGUCGAUGGGAAACAGGUUAAUAUUCCUGUACUCGGUGUUACUGCGAAGGGGGGACGGAGAAGGCUAGGCUAGCCGGGCGACGGUUGUCCCGGUUUAAGCGUGUAGGGGGAG
rnacentral:rRNA from 1 species